AAUAAUUGCAGUUUCUGGUGCCCCAAAAAGAAGGUUCAGGGAAUACACACCUGCUGUGACCAAAAAUGCUAAUUCAACAGAUGUUAGAAAGGCCCGAAAAGCUGAACUCCAGAGAGAUGAAGCCGUCGGGAAAGCAUUGCCAAUUGCAAUUGCGGUUGGAGUUGUCGCACUUGCUGGCUUGUACUUCUACCUCAACAACACUUUCUAGAAGUUUUGCCAGAAACAAGUGUGCAAAUCUGAUUUCAGUUUUGUAGGUUCUGAUUGUUCGAUAUCUCAUUUAAUUCUGUAUAAUAUGUUUGUCAUCCAGCAAAUUUAUAUGAAC